rnacentral:rRNA from 1 species
UACGGAGGGUGCGAGCGUUAUUCGGAAUUACUGGGCGUAAAGCGCGCGUAGGCGGUUUGUUAAGUCAGCUGUGAAAGCCCCGGGCUCAACCUGGGAACUGCAGUUGAUACUGUCCGACUAGAGUACGAGAGAGGGAGGUAGAAUUCCAUGUGUAGCGGUGAAAUGCGUAGAUAUAUGGAGGAAUACCAGUGGCGAAGGCGGCCUCCUGGCUCGAUACUGACGCUGAGGUGCGAAAGCGUGGGGAGCAAACAGG